UACGUAGGGUGCGAGCGUUGUCCGGAAUUACUGGGCGUAAAGCGUGCGUAGGCGGUUCGUUAAGUCCGUUGUGAAAGCCCUGGGCUCAACCUGGGAAUGGCAGUGGAUACUGGCGAGCUAGAGUGUGAUAGAGGAUGGUGGAAUUCCCGGUGUAGCGGUGAAAUGCGUAGAGAUCGGGAGGAACACCGGUGGCGAAGGCGGCCAUCUGGAUCAACACUGACGCUGAGGCACGAAAGCGUGGGGAGCAAACAGG
rnacentral:rRNA from 1 species